GUGAGAAACAAUGGAGGAAGACAAGGGAGAGAGGGAGAGGGAGUGGGGAAGAGAGAAGGGGAAGGUGAGAAACAAUGGAGGAAGACAAGGGAGAGAGGGAGAGGGAGUGGGGAAGAGAGAAGGGGAAGGUGAGAAACAAUGGAGGAAGACAAGGGAGAGAGGGAGAGGGAGUGGGGAAGAGAGAAGGGGAAGGUGAGAAACAAUGGAGGAAGACAAGGGAGAGAGGGAGAGGGAGUGGGGAAGAGAGAAGGGGAAGGUGAGAAACAAUGGAGGAAGACAAGGGAGAGAGGGAGAGGGAGUGGGGAAGAGAGAAGGGGAAGGUGAGAAACAAUGGAGGAAGACAAGGGAGAGAGGGAGAGGGAGUGGGGAAGAGAGAAGGGGAAGGUGAGAAACAAUGGAGGAAGACAAGGGAGAGAGGGAGAGGGAGUGGGGAAGAGAGAAGGGGAAGGUGAGAAACAAUGGAGGAAGACAAGGGAGAGAGGGAGAGGGAGUGGGGAAGAGAGAAGGGGAAGGUGAGAAACAAUGGAGGAAGACAAGGGAGAGAGGGAGAGGGAGUGGGGAAGAGAGAAGGGGAAGGUGAGAAACAAUGGAGGAAGACAAGGGAGAGAGGGAGAGGGAGUGGGGAAGAGAGAAGGGGAAGGUGAGAAACAAUGGAGGAAGACAAGGGAGAGAGGGAGAGGGAGUGGGGAAGAGAGAAGGGGAAGGUGAGAAACAAUGGAGGAAGACAAGGGAGAGAGGGAGAGGGAGUGGGGAAGAGAGAAGGGGAAGGUGAGAAACAAUGGAGGAAGACAAGGGAGAGAGGGAGAGGGAGUGGGGAAGAGAGAAGGGGAAGGUGAGAAACAAUGGAGGAAGACAAGGGAGAGAGGGAGAGGGAGUGGGGAAGAGAGAAGGGGAAGGUGAGAAACAAUGGAGGAAGACAAGGGAGAGAGGGAGAGGGAGUGGGGAAGAGAGAAGGGGAAGGUGAGAAACAAUGGAGGAAGACAAGGGAGAGAGGGAGAGGGAGUGGGGAAGAGAGAAGGGGAAGGUGAGAAACAAUGGAGGAAGACAAGGGAGAGAGGGAGAGGGAGUGGGGAAGAGAGAAGGGGAAGGUGAGAAACAAUGGAGGAAGACAAGGGAGAGAGGGAGAGGGAGUGGGGAAGAGAGAAGGGGAAGGUGAGAAACAAUGGAGGAAGACAAGGGAGAGAGGGAGAGGGAGUGGGGAAGAGAGAAGGGGAAGGUGAGAAACAAUGGAGGAAGACAAGGGAGAGAGGGAGAGGGAGUGGGGAAGAGAGAAGGGGAAGGUGAGAAACAAUGGAGGAAGACAAGGGAGAGAGGGAGAGGGAGUGGGGAAGAGAGAAGGGGAAGGUGAGAAACAAUGGAGGAAGACAAGGGAGAGAGGGAGAGGGAGUGGGGAAGAGAGAAGGGGAAGGUGAGAAACAAUGGAGGAAGACAAGGGAGAGAGGGAGAGGGAGUGGGGAAGAGAGAAGGGGAAGGUGAGAAACAAUGGAGGAAGACAAGGGAGAGAGGGAGAGGGAGUGGGGAAGAGAGAAGGGGAAGGUGAGAAACAAUGGAGGAAGACAAGGGAGAGAGGGAGAGGGAGUGGGGAAGAGAGAAGGGGAAGGUGAGAAACAAUGGAGGAAGACAAGGGAGAGAGGGAGAGGGAGUGGGGAAGAGAGAAGGGGAAGGUGAGAAACAAUGGAGGAAGACAAGGGAGAGAGGGAGAGGGAGUGGGGAAGAGAGAAGGGGAAGGUGAGAAACAAUGGAGGAAGACAAGGGAGAGAGGGAGAGGGAGUGGGGAAGAGAGAAGGGGAAGGUGAGAAACAAUGGAGGAAGACAAGGGAGAGAGGGAGAGGGAGUGGGGAAGAGAGAAGGGGAAGGUGAGAAACAAUGGAGGAAGACAAGGGAGAGAGGGAGAGGGAGUGGGGAAGAGAGAAGGGGAAGGUGAGAAACAAUGGAGGAAGACAAUGGAGUGAAAGGGAGAGAGGGAGUGGGGAAGAGAGAAGGGGAAGGUGAGAAACAAUGGAGGAAGACAAUGGAGUGAAAGGGAGAGAGGGAGAGGGAGUGGGGAAGAGAGAAGGGGAAGGUGAGAAACAAUGGAGGAAGAGAAUGAGAUUGAGAGGGUGAGUGUGUGAGAGGGAGAGACUGAGAGGGAGUGGGGAAGAGAGAAGGGGAAGGUGAGAAACAAUGGAGGAAGAGAAUGAGAUUGAGAGGAUGAGUGUGGGGAAGAGAGAGGGAGAGAUUGGGGUUGUGAGCUCUGUCUCGUGUUUCUUUCUCAGAGUAAUAAAUCAUUGGUGUUGGGCCCCCGGUGUGAUCUGCAGGGGAGCCAGGCAGCGAGGGAGAGCCAGGAAGGAGGGGACCUCUCUCAAACACACAGCCUGAUUAAGAGAGCCUGACCCUGGGCCGGGAUGACUGGGGCUGUUGGGGCUCACUGGAGCAGACAGCCAGAUAUACACACACAAACAUACACAAACAGACGUACACUUACACACAAGCACUCACACACACCCAAACAGGAUCCCUCCCAGCCCUACUCAGGGGACUCUCAGCAGUCUGGCUCCAUUCCCCUGGAGGGGCCCAGCAGAGUAUGUGUGUGUGUCUUAGGGGGCCAGUGAAGAUCAGCUCCUGUGUAUGUGGGCCAGCCAGAGUCUCUGUCCUGGGGAAGGUUACACCUCAUAGACACACACACCAUGGUUGACCAGAGCCAAUGUUUCACACACCAUCUACCAGAAAGGCCUCAGUGAGCUGCUGCCCAAAGCCAGCCAGCCAAACAGCCCCCGAGAGAAUAGCGUGUGUGUGAGUGUGUGCGCGUGUUUACAUCUGUGUCCAUCUGUGACCUAAGUCUGACCCUGUCCAGACAAAAAACAACUGAAAAAACAACAUCCGACUUUCUGUAGCACACAGCAAUUUCUAAUAUCCAAACCAGCUACAAAUAUCCACAACUCACAAUCAAACCAUGAGCUGUAUGUCUGACUGAUAGGAACCUGUAGGAGGUCGAAAGGGUAGUGAGAUUCUAUUGAUUCAGUGUUGAUUGAGAAAUGUCUGUAAGAAACCUGCUAUGUUCCACUGUGUAGUGAGUCUGAGAGGAGAGGGUCAGUGUGUUACAGAUGCAUCAUAUGAUCCCUCCACAACCAAUUCUAAAAGCAGUCCUUGUCAACU